GUUCUAUUAUAGAAUUGAAACAAUUUUCUAAUACAUACAGGUCUAAAAUCAUAUAAAGAUGGGCUGAACAUGUGGUUCAGUGGUAGGACAUUUGCCUGGUAAGUGCAAAACCAUGGUUUCUAUUCCCAGCACCACCAAAAGAAUAAAAAGCAUAUAAAUGCAAUAGGAAGGAGAGGGGAUGACAAAUUGCUCUUUGGGGUUGUCAGAGAACUCCUGAGUCCUGCCCCAACAACAAUCCUGCUGAGGCUGGUGUCAGGUGUGGCCUCACUUUGCUGAAUACUGAGGAGUUUUAAGUUCCCAACUGAAGAGUGAGCUGUAAGAUGUCAGGGGGAGCAGGGUGGGCUUUGCCUGUAUGUAGUAUGGAUGCCUGAGGUAGAGGCACAGGCCAGCUGUGUUCUAAACAAAGCAUCUCUCCACCUGAGGGUAGAAGAGAAAGUAAAGGCCUUGCUUUGAGGUGCUCUCCCUGCCAUCAUCCCCCAUGCCAUAGUGAAGCCAGAUUUAAAGUUAGGUAGUCAGUGUAGUUAGAUAAAUCGGGUCUAAUAUCUAGUGAAAUCUAAAAUGGAGACCAUGCGGAGAAUGACUCAGGGAAAACACAGGACAACUCAUGGAAGUCCCGAAAAGGCCCUAGGCCAAAGUCCACCUCAAAGAAAUGUUAAUGAACAGCCCCCAGCAAAAAGGUGCUGACUCAGAAGUCCUUCCUGACCAGAUUACUUCUUUGGCCCACCUGUGUCCCACCCCUCGGUCCUUCCCACCUACAUUCCAUCACUGAAAGAACUAUAAAAAGGGGAGACAACAUCCCUUCCACGGAUUCCACCUCUUGGGUCCCCUUCUUCCUCCGGGAGAAGUCUUUUCUGCUGUCCUUUAAUAAACUUCUAAUUUCUACUCUGACCUUGCCUCGGCGUGCUUCUUU
rnacentral:lncRNA from 1 species